CCACACACUCCCGACAUUUGUCCAUCUGCAUAUGGAGUCACAGACACCUGCGCACGUGCCCAGUGGCACAUACACACCCUCAUGGAUAGCAGACAUAUGCACACGCAGGCUGCUCCCUCAAACACCUGCCCCCACCCCAGCUCUGGGGUGCCGACGUGCCCUGGGGCCUGGGGAAGCCCUGCACAUACAUUAGGUCUGAGCUGCAGCCAUGUGAACUGGCAGGCCCUCACACCAGACCCCACAGGCACCGGGCCAUGUCUCUGUCCCGAACUGCCCUGGGGGCCAUGAGACACUUUGGCUCCUCUUCUGCAAGCUGAAAGCCUCAGUUUCCCCACCUUGGAUCCUCCUGGCACGGAAACGGUGACUCUUCUUGAGGACCCAGGUGCUUGGGGCCAGUCUCACCUCUCUG
rnacentral:lncRNA from 10 species